GGGAAAACAGCAACAGAAAUAGUUGGAGAGCAGUGAUCAUCCUAUGCAUUGCCUUACGUACUACAAAGGGAGGGCUGUCAUCAUCCGCAUAAAGCCCAAGCUUUCUGUACUAUGUGACCCUGCUUCAUUUUUAGGUUUGGGUUUAUAGCACCAGCACUUAAAAGGCUGUCUGGGCCAGGUCCUGUGGUCAGUGGAAAACACGUCUACCAAGGCAGACUAACCAACCCACCAGAGCUCAUGGAUACCCAGGUUCUUUGUUGUGCCUGUGGCCUCUGCAGAUGGAAGGUCUGAGUUCUGUGAAUGAAACACAGCAAUUCGGAAAGGAAACCCCACCGCUCACUGCAGUUCAAUGUGAAGUGGAGUACUCCUCCCCACACUUACAGAAGUAGGACGAUGUCCUUAAAGUUAAAAAAAAAAAAAGUCAUACAGCCAUAAAUAUCAAUGGCUGAAUAGUUUGUAGUACUUAUUUCAUUCUCGAGUUGUAACAAAGGUUGGUUUGAGCUGGCUUCUUAAAAAGCAUGUGGCAUUUCCAAGUCCUCACACCUCCCUUUAUGGGCUCAGCAGUGGAGACUGGUGGGGAAGGUCCUGCGUACAUGACUUUGUCACUUCCAGAAGGUGAAGCCCACAGUGUGGAGUUUCCGGGGCUGUGAGCAAGGUUCCUGUGUGUAGCUGAUCAUUCUCCCCCAGCACUGCAAAGCCGCUGUUACAAACUGGCCUCCCACCACUCAAGGCACACAGCACAGGGCAAUAAAUAUCUGCUAAAAGAAGUCAGACUGGUCUCCGGGAAGAGAUAACUCUGCUCCUUCUGUGAAUUCUUCAGCUGUACUGCAGACAUUACUUGUGCUGGGAGAUGGCGGUUGCUGGGGAAAAAACCUGAGAAACCCUAGUUCAUAUCCUCCCUCUGACACUUCUUAGAGGAUCAAGCUGCUGUCUGGGAGAUGCACCAUCCUGAGCAGGACACUCCCUAGUUUCCCUGCUGACACUCGUAAACGGAACCAUCUACAACCACUUGCUGUUUGUUACUUUUGACUCUUGGAUUCCGAUUUCUAGUUUCCACUCUUCUUGCCUAAAAUCCAAUGCAAAUCAUCUCAGCAAACAUCAAAUGAAAAGAAAAAAAAAAUAAAAAAAUUCAUUGCUUAUUCCCUUAUUGAAAGACAUCUGAUUCAACAGUAUCUGGGCCAGGAACCAACAACUCAAUGUUACAAGAUUUUGUACCACUAAGUAAAUGGGUUUAGUAAAGUUAUGAGACAUUAGCUUGCAUCCAAGCUGGGGAUGAGGGGCCCCCAGAAAGUUUUCUUUCCAAGCUAUCACCCAAGUUCCCAAAUACACACCGCUUUAGGCCAAGUUCAGAUCACAGAAUCCCAGUUCUGAGAAGCUGCACUUGGUCCUCACCCAGCCCUUCCUACUGUUAGAACAAACAAGAAGGAAAUUACUCCAUCAGCUUUCACAUGCUGGAGAAAAUGGCUGAAGGUUUGAAGUCUGGCCUUCUGAGGAAAUAUUUCACAGAGCUUCUUACUUUUUAAAAUUUCUAAAAUCUCUCCCUCCUCAGAAUUAAGGAACCAUACCACUCUCUCUAGGUCACCUGAGGCACGGGAGCUACCUGAGCGAGGUUUAUGUAAAGACUUGAAGGUUUGAGAAAGUCCAAAGCAGUUUUUGGUCCAAAGCUGAUGUGACUUUGUACCUCUGAGUUAUUUGCGACCACAGCCUGGGUAUGAAUGGGAAACACACUCUGCAGCAGUGUAGGAUGGUGCUGUGGACUCUGGACUCAAGCUGAAUUCGCUUAUUACCAACGCAGGCUUGAGCAAAUCACUUACAUGUGCGGUGCCUGUUUUCUCAUCUGUGAAAUGGGGAUCAUGGUAGUCCUACUUUAUAGGACUGUUAUGAGCAUUAAAUAAAUUAAUGCUUAAAAUAGUGGCACUUAUAAGCACCAAAUAACUAUUUAAUCAGUACUAUUCAAUACUGUUAUAAUAAAAACUAAUUUCAGGCCAGGCAUGGAGGCUCACGCCUGUAAUCCCAACACUUUGGGAGGCC
rnacentral:lncRNA from 1 species